rnacentral:rRNA from 1 species
GACGAACGCUGGCGGCGUGCCUAAUACAUGCAAGUCGAGCGCUGAAGGUUGGUGCUUGUACCAACUGGGUGAGCAGCGGACGGGUGAGUAACGCGUGGAGAAUCUGCCUUUGAGCGGGGGACAACUUCUGGAAACGAAUGCUAAUACCGCAUAAUAUCUUUAAACACAAGUUUUAAGAUUGAAAGAUGCAAUUGCUUCACCCAAAGAUGAUCCCGCGUUGUAUUAGGUAGUUGGUUAGGUAAAGGCUCACCAAGGCGAUGAAUCCGAGCCGACCUGAGAGGGGGAUCGGCCAAAUUGGGACUGGGACAACGCCCAAACCCCCAAGGGGGGCAGCAAGAGGGGAUCUUCGGGAAUGGACGGAAGGCUGGCCGAGGCAAGCCGGGGGAGGGAAGAAGGGUCUCGGAUCGGAAAAAUCUGUUGGUAGGGAAGAAAGUAGGGGGGAGUGAAAUGCGCAUCAAGUGACGGUAACUACUCAGAAAGGGACGGCUAACUACGUG